AUUGAACGCUGGCGGCAUGCCUUACACAUGCAAGUCGAACGGUAACAGGUCUUCGGAUGCUGACGAGUGGCGAACGGGUGAGUAAUACAUCGGAACGUGCCUAGUAGUGGGGGAUAACUACUCGAAAGAAUGGCUAAUACCGCAUGAGAUCUAAGGUUGAAAGCAGGGGAUCGCAAGACCUUGUGCUACUAGAGCGGCCGAUGGCAGAUUAGGUAGUUGGUGGGAUAAAGGCUUACCAAGCCGACGAUCUGUAGCUGGUCUGAGAGGACGAUCAGCCACACUGGGACUGAGACCCGGCCCAGACUCCUACGGGAGGCAGCAGUGGGGAAUUUUGGACAAUGGGCGAAAGCCUGAUCCAGCAAUGCCGCGUGCAGGAUGAAGGCCUUCGGGUUGUAAACUGCUUUUGUACGGAACGAAAAGCCCCGGGUUAAUACCCUGGGGUCAUGACGGUACCGUAAGAAUAAGCACCGGCUAACUACGUGCCAGCCGCCGCAGUAA
rnacentral:rRNA from 1 species